CCAACUGGGCAGAGGGAUGCUCCUCUCAUCAGCACUGUUUCAUUUGGGAGCUUCAUUUCUGUCAGCUGCCUUUAAAACCACAGCUCCAGAAGAGCCUGUUUUCCACAGCAGAGGGAAGGCUGAGAGGCUGCUCUGUUCCAACAUAACCAUGAUGGGAAAAAACAGAUGCCCAAUGGCAUUAAAUCUACUAGUGGCUCUGAGGAAGGAAUCAAAACAUCUCCCAAAUGAGGAAGCUUCCAGACUCUUGAGAUGCAACUUUUAUGUUUAUGCUGAAUUACCAAGUUUUCAGAGUCCUAA